UACGUAGGGGGCAAGCGUUGUCCGGAUUUAUUGGGCGUAAAGAGCGUGUAGGCGGCCACUUAAGUCCUGCGUGAAAUCUUGCGGCUCAACCGCAAGCGGUCGUGGGAAACUGGGUGGCUAGAGUGCGGGAGAGGAGAGUGGAAUUCCUGGUGUAGCGGUGGAAUGCGCAGAUAUCAGGAGGAACACCAAUUGCGAAGGCAGCUCGCUGGGACGUUACUGACGCUGAGACGCGAAAGCGUGGGGGAGCAAACAGG
rnacentral:rRNA from 1 species